rnacentral:rRNA from 1 species
CUUGACGACCAUAGAGCGUUGGAACCACCUGAUCCCAUCCCGAACUCAGCAGUGAAACGAUGCAUCGCCGAUGCGAUGGUAGUGUGGGGUUUCCCCAUGUGAGAGUAGGUCAUCGUCAAGA